rnacentral:rRNA from 1 species
AGCGAACGCUGGCGGCAGGCUUAACACAUGCAAGUCGAGCGCCUGUAGCAAUACAGGAGCGGCAGACGGGUGAGUAACACGUGGGAACGUGCCCUUCAGUUCGGAACAACCCAGGGAAACUUGGGCUAAUACCGGAUAAGCCCUUACGGGGAAAGAUUUAUCGCUGAAGGAUCGGCCCGCGUCUGAUUAGCUAGUUGGUGAGGUAAUGGCUCACCAAGGCGACGAUCAGUAGCUGGUCUGAGAGGAUGAUCAGCCACACUGGGACUGAGACACGGCCCAGACUCCUACGGGAGGCAGCAGUGGGGAAGUAUUGGACAAUGGGCGCAAGCCUGAUCCAGCCAUGCCGCGUGAGUGAUGAAGGCCGUUUAGGGUUAGUAAAGCUCUUUCGUCAGGGAAGAUAAUGACGGUACCUGAAGAAG